rnacentral:rRNA from 1 species
CAACCGGGGAUUGCCUUAGUAACGGCGAGUGAAGCGGCAAAAGCUCAAAUUUGAAAUCUGGUACCUUCGGUGCCCGAGUUGUAAUUUGGAGAGGGCAACUUUGGGGCCGUUCCUUGUCUAUGUUCCUUGGAACAGGACGUCAUAGAGGGUGAGAAUCCCGUGUGGCGAGGAGUGCGGUUCUUUGUAAAGUGCCUUCGAAGAGUCGAGUUGUUUGGGAAUGCAGCUCUAAGUGGGUGGUAAAUUCCAUCUAAAGCUAAAUAUUGGCGAGAGACCGAUAGCGAACAAGUACAGUGAUGGAAAGAUGAAAAGAACUUUGAAAAGAGAGUGAAAAAGUACGUGAAAUUGUUGAAAGGGAAGGGCAUUUGAUCAGACAUGGUGUUUUGUGCCCUCUGCUCCUUGUGGGUAGGGGAAUCUCGCAUUUCACUGGGCCAGCAUCAGUUUUGGUGGCAGGAUAAAUCCAUAGGAAUGUAGCUUGCCUCGGUAAGUAUUAUAGCCUGUGGGAAUACUGCCAGCUGGGACUGAGGACUGCGACGUAAGUCAAGGAUGCUGGCAUAAUGGUUAUAUGCCGCCCGUCUUGAAACAACCGAACAA